rnacentral:rRNA from 1 species
UAUUAUGAGAGUUUGAUCCUGGCUCAGGACGAACGCUGGCGGCGUGCCUAAUACAUGCAAGUCGAACGCUUCUUUCCUCCCGAGUGCUUGCACUCAAUUGGAAAGAGGAGUGGCGGACGGGUGAGUAACACGUGGGUAACCUACCCAUCAGAGGGGGAUAACACUUGGAAACAGGUGCUAAUACCGCAUAACAGUUUAUGCCGCAUGGCAUAAGAGUGAAAGGCGCUUUCGGGUGUCGCUGAUGGAUG